rnacentral:rRNA from 1 species
AAAUUGAAGAGUUUGAUCAUGGCUCAGAUUGAACGCUGGCGGCAGGCCUAACACAUGCAAGUCGAACGGUAACAGGAAGCAGCUUGCUGCUUCGCUGACAAGUGGCGGACGGGUGAGUAAUGUCUGGGAAACUGCCUGAUGGAGGGGGAUAACUACUGGAAACGGUGGCUAAUACCGCAUGACGUCGCAAGACCAAAGAGGGGGACCUUCGGGCCUCUUGCCAUCAGAUGUGCCCAGAUGGGAUUAGCUUGUUGGUGAGGUAACGGCUCACCAAGGCGACGAUCCCU